rnacentral:rRNA from 1 species
GAUGAACGCUGGCGGCGUGCCUAAUACAUGCAAGUAGAGCGAACGGACGAGAAGCUUGCUUCUCUGAUGUUAGCGGCGGACGGGUGAGUAACACGUGGAUAACCUACCUAUAAGACUGGGAUAACUUCGGGAAACCGUAGCUAAUACCGGAUAAUAUUUUGAACCGCAUGGUUCAAAAGUGAAAGACGGUCUUGCUGUCACUUAUAGAUGGAUCCGCGCUGCAUUAGCUAGUUGGUAAGGUAACGGCUUACCAAGGCAACGAUGCAUAGCCGACCUGAGAGGGUGAUCGGCCACACUGGAACUGAGACACGGUCCAGACUCCUACGGGAGGCAGCAGUAGGGAAUCUUCCGCAAUGGGCGAAAGCCUGACGGAGCAACGCCGCGUGAGUGAUGAAGGUCUUCGGAUCGUAAAACUCUGUUAUUAGGGAAGAACAUAUGUGUAAGUAACUGUGCACAUCUUGACGGUACCUAAUCAGAAAGCCACGGCUAACUACGUG